UUGCUCUGCAAGGGCCGCCGCGGCUUUUGUGGAUCGAUGGGUAAUGAUGCUUUGAGGGAGACUGUUGUGAGAAGCCCCUGACUGCAGUGUGCAGUUCGGGGCUUGGCUCAAUGUGGGCGGAGUCAAAUGUGUUUAACCCGAACCCUUCCCGUUUCCUUCAAGGUCACCCAAGUUGAGGUUCACGACGAAGGUAUCAACGUCAACGAAAGCGAAUCUUAUUCGAACCUAACCUACAUGGAUGAAAAUAUAAACCAUGGAAGUAAGUGAGACUGACAUUAUGCAUAAUGUAUUUCAUAAUAUUUUUGUUAUACCAGUGCACUGGUAUAUUUUUAUAUAACCAAAUACUGCCCUGAUGUUAGCAUAGCAUUAAUUAGCACCCAUUUGCAUGUGAGUUAGCUAAUUGCUUACAAUGAGGGACUCUUAUUUGGACAAAUUUGCCUACUUGAGCAGUAAGCCUAGGUUUACAUGUACAGUUAUGUAAUCGAUUCGAUCAUUGAUUUUCUGUGUAUCUUCAAUGUAUGCCUUGUUGUGUUUGGCUGGCUCUAAUGUGUAUCGUUGAUGCCAACGGCCAUUCCCUAAGUUACACAUAGCAAGUAUACACAGCCUACACAGGAUAUACAAUAAUUAAAUGAAAUGUCUAUUGCUUAUUUUAUGCCUUUCUAAUUAUCAUGCCUUUUAUGUCUAUGCUUAUUUUCUUUGAUGUAUAGAGACAUGUUAGUGUGCUAUUGGAGGGCGAGAGUCCCAAAAUUAAAAAAUGCAGUAGCAGUCAACUUCAUCACUGCCCCUUCUGCACAUAUAAGGCUGAACAAUAUAUGGUCAACCACCACAUCAAAGGUCAUGCUUCAGUGAGGCACAGAAGUACUAUUUCUUUCUUUGUUUAUUGAAUAUAUUUGACGUUCACGGUUUUAGAUUUUUUUCAGUUACAUCAGCGUAUUUAAUUUAAUUUUAUAACUUGUUACUUUACUGUUAUUCCUCUCUUUCAGAGUUCACAAUCAUAAAGUGUGGCUUCAGUUAUAGCUAUUGCAUGGCAACAAUAAUCACCAGAGCACAGUUUCUGAAGCACCUGACAUACCAUCAGCAUCCAGUGGCCCCUCAAGAGCACCCAGAGGCCCUUAAAUUCUCAUCACUAGUGGAUAUAAGUUUUUUUUGGGAUACCCAUGCCGCAAAUUAGGCGAUGGUGGUGCCUAGUUCUCCUGCAGAACUUUUCUUUGUCUUGAACAUUUGUCUUGAACAAGUCUUGAACAUUUGAAAAACUUUUCAUUUGCAUCCUUAAAAUCACUUGUUUCACUGUAGCCAGACUGACCUGAAUAUAUUUUCAUAUUGAAUGUAUGUAACGUAUGUCAUUCACUCACUAAGGUCUGAAGAAGAGAGGUUGAAAUAUCGAAAAAGGUGGCGAAAACGAAACACACUACAGGAUGAUGUAGAAGAUGUCCCCCCCCAAGAAGUCACAGCAUGUCACAUCAGCAUCCAGCUCUGCAGGAUCAGACGAUACUGAAAACAAAAUGCACGGCGAACUGGGAGCUGUGAACUGGGAAGCAGAUGUUCUUCUAAGGGACACCCUAGAGCAGUGGUUCUC